rnacentral:misc_RNA from 1 species
GUUAUUUGUUAAUUGAACAUUUGGCCAACCUCUCCUAUGAGCAAACAAAAACUACUAAAUUAACAAAUAACUCACAAAUAAAUACACAAACAAUACAAUGUUCAUUCAAACCUGAGUAUUUAUGUCUAAAAACAUCCAAGGAGCUUCUUUGGAGCAGUUCCAGUGGCACGAUACUUUGCUGCGAUCUCCUCUGCCUUCAGAAGAUCUUCCCCACGUUUAGCUUCAAUCAUUGCCCUUUUUUCAUCUGCUGCCUUGUGAAUUAGUGCUAUUUUAUUUUUCAUUUUUUC